CCAACAAAUGUGCGCGAAGUUCUUUCGCGAAAUUCGUUCGAAAUGGUUCCGGAUUGUUCCCUUGGCAAACGUCGCAUUCGUAAAUCGUCUUGCCUGGAUGCAGAUUCGUCGACAAUACGUGUUUCCUAAGAUUCUCCUGAAACAGAAACGAAAAAAUGACAGUGUUAGUCGAACGAAUGAACGAGUAUAGAUGGCGGUAUAGCACAGGAGAAGAAAAAGCAAGGCCUUCGGUUGCGAUGAGAGAAAAGAUAUCAAAGACGUCAUUGUGAAUAACUUUUUCUUAUAACUUGAUCGACAAUCUCUUAUAAUUUUUGAGAUAUUUGAAAGAAAAGAUCGUUAUCGUGUUAAAUAUUAAUUUGUUCAACGUAUACCUAAGAAGUUAGAUUAGGUUAAGUCAACACGAGACUGCCAUUUAUCAAUUAUUAUACGUACUCACAGUGACCAAAAUGUAUAACAGAUAUCUCUGGACGCAUCGUGGAUAGAAGAUCCGAAUCGAAUCGUAGUUGGAUGUCAACCAAGCGAGAAAGGAUUGUGCGUGAACGAGAGCGUAAGAAAAUGCGGAGAAAAAGGAAGAGGACGGAGACCACCUAGAAGAAGAGAAAAUUAAGGAGCAAUAAUGGGGAAAAAAAAAAAAGAGAGAUGCAUAGAAACGUGAAACAGAUGCGAGAAUAAGAUUGCCUUCGUUGUCACGGUGAAAUGGAGUAAGUUUUCCUAACUCUAGGAGGAGUGAAGAGAAUGACAUGCCGGACGACAGAACAAAAAGCUGUGUACGAGCAUGGAUGACAAGAGGAAAGAAGGAGCGUGUAGCCAUCCGAGGUAAAUCAUAAACUGGAUGGAUGUAGGAAGGAAGGAAGGAAAGGUGGCACGUGUAAUCUCGUUGACGCAAGGCAACCCACUCGUGGAAGAAGGAAAUUGUUGAAGCUAUUCGCACGUUCCUUAUUAAAAGUUUCGUCGAGUAAACGACCAUAUUGCUUCUGGACUAUUCUUAUGUUGAUUUGACAAUUAAUCUUUGAUUGAGAAUGGAUGUAAUUGUUUGCGAAUACAUUUGAGACUAAAUCAUAUUAAGAGAAUUAUUUUUCACUAAUGAAUACUAUGUUAAGAGCGAAAGUUAUUACUUGGAAAAAGCUUUUACUUUGCUUUUAAUUUCAAAUGUAUAUGCAUUUUAAAACUUGUUCAACGUUCAUAUGAUUUCAUAUCUUUCUUGAAAACUGAUCUCAGAAAUUUUAUCGAUGCAUGCAAUAAUACAUCAAAUGAACGU